GGACAAUGGGCUGGCGGACGGCCUGCGCCGGCUGGUGCCCGGCGGCAGCGGACUGCUCGCGCUGCUCGGCAUCGCGGUGGUCGCC
rnacentral:tRNA from 1 species